GGAAAGUUUUACUUUUACUUCUGGACCCACUGGGUAGCCUCAGGGCACGUGACAGUGUUCUCUAUUCCUAGUUAUGUUUGCAAGGGUAAAACAUAGAAGUUCUGUGGCUUUCAAACACACAAGCAACAACCACUACACAAAAACCUAUGGCGCUUCUUGGGUUGGGAUUUUGAGAUUGAACCCUAGGCGUUUCCUAAGCAAAACGAAUUCUUAUUCCUAUAAUAAACCCCAGACUCCAGGUGGCCAGUCCUCAUUGUUCCCACAGUGCUGUGUAAGUCAGCCUUCAAAAGUGCCCUCUGGAUACUGGCAAAUCUGACCACAUCUUCUAGAUAAAUAGGGGUGCGGAAGUGUGCCAACAUGCAGCUGUUCCUGCCAGCAAAUCCAAGAGACUAUUACUGCUGCACUGGACUGUCCAAAGAAAUGCUUGUGAUCAUGUACCUGCCACCGGAGUUGGGAAAUGCUGUGAAUCACGUGCCAUGCUCAAAGAACCAGGUUUGGUGAUUCUUUUUCUUAUAGUUAGAAUACAAAUCCCUGUGCUUACUUCUAGCUGGAGAAUUCCUCAACUGACUGAUUCAUCCACAAAUUGGCUCCAAUGCCCAAUGCUAUGGUACUUUACUGUCACUAUGGUACUUUAGUGCCACUGGCCAGGAGAGGCUUGGGAUGGGUAAGGAGACCACAGAGUAUCAGAGCAUCAUGGCUGAAGACAAUGGCAAUAUCUGUAGUCAUCAGAAGUGCACGUAGCAUGACAUUCAACAGCUUGGAAAAACACAGAUUGACCUGAGUAUACACAAGUACAGAAAGCCUGGUCGUCAGGCAGAACAAGAGACUGAGAGGCCAGUGAGGACUUUGAGGGCAACUGGGGACAAGUCACUGAAGCGGAGUCAUUUUCUGGGGUAAAUACUGAAGGAUUGUUGUCUCACACCAAGGGAAUCAAUGACGUGUACGCACAGGUAGUGGUUUUAAAAGCAGAAGCUUAAUAGACGAAAGAAAGAGAACAAAGAAUAGCUCUCUCUCCUGCAGAGAGAGAGGAGCUCCCAAGUGGGUCUUCUGGUUUCAUGGUGAAACGCAUGGGGUUUUAUAGACAAGCUUGAGGAAGUAAUGUCUGAUUAAUAUAGGGCCUGAGAGAUUGGUUGAACCAGUUGUGACAUUUGCAUAGCAUGUGAAGAAGCUGGCCAUCCUACCGUAAUCUUUUAUUAUGCAGAUGAGAUCUCUACCUUCCCCGGACCAUGUUGUCUGUUCCUUACUGUACACGUGGUUGACAAAGAAAAGGGAAGAUGGAGCCGUCAUGUUGAACAUGCUGGCCCCCAGGUAGCCUUC
rnacentral:lncRNA from 1 species